UGGAACCAAUCCUCGUGCCAUCUCGCGAGACGCGGAGGAGGAGCGCACGCGGCUGUGGCGGCUACUCGGCUUGCGGCGGCCGCGCGAACAUCACUGGCGGCGCGACCCGGAGGUGACGACCUCGAGCCUGCGCGAGGACCUCUCCACCGGCGGCUGCCUACUCCGGUGGCAACCUUCUCGCCGGUUCUUGAUUUGCUGGUACUCGGCGGCUCCGCUUGAGGCGUCCGCGGCUGCGGCCGAGAUGGCGCUGGCGGAGAGGCUGCGCACGUCGGCCGUGGUGCUGGAUGGGUAGGCCGUGGAGUUGCAGGUGCUCGUGUCGUCGCGUGGCAUCGCAGAUUCCCCUCCUCCGGUUGGCGGCAUCCUGCUGAUUGGCGCGGCCGCGCGACGAGUGCUCGUAGCCUACCCCCUCGCCUAGGUUCCGCCCGCUUGGCGAGGAACCCGAACCGUUGUUUGUGAUUUAAUCAUGUCCGGUGUGCUGCUGAUUAUGCACGUCUUAUGCUGGUGUCACUGUGUCACUUGUUAGUGUUAGUAGCAGCGACUGUUGAUCUGGUGGCUAUUUCUUGCUCUUUUUUGAGUCAUCAGGCCUUUGUGCUUGUAAUUUGGCUGCAGGGAGAUUCCAAACUUUGCCAUGUCACCAUGUCUAUAGACUACUAGUAGUUCUCUGUUCAACGUAGUAUCAACUGAGAUCUUGCUCUAAAACUUAGCAACCCCUAAACAUGAAGUGGCAAUACUCUGCCCAUGUCAUUGAAAGAGCUGCUGUAUACAGUUACGUUGCUAGUCAUUUUGGUUGACCACAGAUGACUAAUGUGUACGUUGUUAAUUACUUGUACUGAACUGAUUAUGGCAUUUCCUCUCUUGCUUAGUCCCAUUUGACCUGCAGCUUGCUUCAGAACUGGUGUCAAAUGGUUAGUGAUAUGGCUUCCGAAAUUAGAAAUGGGUGUUCAUAUCAACUAUGUGAGUAGGCUUCAUAAUUCAUUUAUACUUUUCCUCAGUCAGUUCACAGAGUCUAUUUAUGCAUUAGCAGUCAUUUCCUUUUUUGGAGAUGAAUAAAUUAUUUAGUUUCACUCUGUUCAGUCGGCAUUAGACCAUUUGUUGGUUCAGUUGCCUGUUAGUUCAGUAUGUCAAACCUUUUAGUUCAGUAUGCAGAUGCAUUGACAGUGUUUACCUAUGUCUCUCUCUGUUAAUUGGGGAUGAGACCAUUUGUGCACUUGGGAAGAAGUGGAGGUUAAGAUAGGGAUGUCCUGUCUCUUGUCAGUAUAUAUUCCAGCAUAGAGUACUAGAAUCUUGGCAUUGGUUCAUGGAAAGCCAUGAAGAUAUCUGGCCAUUACUUGAUUAUUGAACAAUGCAUUUUAAUUUCUUGUGCACCUGUAUGUCUCUAACUUAACAUCUCUUUGCUGAAUUAUAUGUUCUGACUUAACAUCAGCAUCUAGAAGCCUCUUCUAAUCUAAAUAGUCUACUUUGCAGUCUCAGCACCAGUUCGAGUAGAAGAUGAACCUCCGCCAUCCUGGGAUCCUGUACCCUCCCUGUACCCUCCCCAAUAUGUACUUGAUCUGUUUUCAUAUUGAAACAUCCUUUGUAUUCUAAACUUCUUUGGUUCAUUUACUACAGAUUUCCCGAGUUCGAAGCAUAGAAUUUUGAUGCAUUCAUGCAAGUAUGACAUAAAUCAUGGAGCUUACUUGAGGUUCAUCGACAAGUACAUGGCAGUGAACGUUGAUCAUGAACUACAUCAGUUGUUUUCCCUUUUGCUUUCAAUUUUUUCCAUUUGGAAGCUCCUGUUAACAUGAUCCUCUCCGAGCCGUGCAAUGCUCCAUUUAAUUUAUUACUGACAUAUAUGGUGUAUGGAAUUUUCUUGGCUGUGCCUGAUUUUUGUGUGUAAAGAUUUAACUGAAAAAUUUUCAUUUCGGAGUUUCAGAUUGUUGGUUAGAUACAAUGCAGAUCAGAUUCACCAA